rnacentral:rRNA from 1 species
CCUACGGGUGGCAGCAGUGGGGAAUAUUGGACAAUGGGCGAAAGCCUGAUCCAGCCAUGCCGCGUGUGUGAAGAAGGCCUUCGGGUUGUAAAGCACUUUCAGUGGGGAAGAAAGCCUUGGGGCUAAUACCCUCGAGGAAGGACAUCACCCACAGAAGAAGCACCGGCUAACUCCGUGCCAGCAGCCGCGGUAAUACGGAGGGUGCGAGCGUUAAUCGGAAUUACUGGGCGUAAAGCGCGCGUAGGCGGUCUGAUAAGCCGGUUGUGAAAGCCCCGGGCUCAACCUGGGAACGGCAUCCGGAACUGUCGGGCUAGAGUGCAGGAGAGGAAGGUAGAAUUCCCGGUGUAGCGGUGAAAUGCGUAGAGAUCGGGAGGAAUACCAGUGGCGAAGGCGGCCUUCUGGACUGACACUGACGCUGAGGUGCGAAAGCGUGGGUAGCAAACAGGAUUAGAUACCCGUGUAGUC